CAAAGGAUGCUGAUUUGGUAUGAUGGUGGUUCCUAUUUUCUAUUUCCUUGUUAAGCAUUGACUUCAUAUAUUUAUAUGUUCAAGCAUGAUCCUUUUUUCUUUUAAUUCCUUGUGGUUUUGGCUUACCCUUCUGUUUGAGAAAUACUGUUGCAAACAUGAACUUCAGUAGAAACUACAAGGGCAGGAUCUGUAACUAUACUCGUAUCUUGAAAUUUGUGUUGUUCAGAUUAUCUUGGA
rnacentral:misc_RNA from 1 species